UAGAGUAACAGGAUCAGUUGGGGGUGGGGCAGCUGAUUUAGAUAAACCAACACUUGGCUGUACAUCUUCAACUAUUACUUCACCUUCUGCCUUCAAAGAUUCCAAGAAUUGAUUUGUCCUUUGGGAUUUACCAAGCUGCAUGCCAAGGCCUUUAGGAGGUGCAGUAGCAGAUGAAGGUGGACGGCCUAAUAACAGACAUACAAGGUAAAAUGGUAAGCGUCCAGUUAGUACAUGAAUCUUAAUUGGCCAUAAACUAUAUGACAAAUUACUAAAGGUAGUGUUUGGGGCAAGAACUAACUAAGACUAUUAUAAUCACAUCUUGCUACAGUAAAUACUAUUUAAAAGUUUUCAUUUAGUUUCAGUAGACACUAUUUCAAAACCUCAAAUUGCUAAAGUAUUUAGUAUUUUGCUACUUUUUUACUAUUUUACGUUCAUCAUUUUUAUUCUUUCCUAUGAUGUUUACUAUUUUCUUUUGAAACUAAAGUAGUUUACACCUUAAACACAUACUAUUAUUACCUCAACUAAAAUAAUAUACCUCAAACACAUACUAUUAAAAUCCAACUAUAAUAACCAACUUUUUGCCCUAAGAGCCCCUAAAAGAUGGUAUAUGGUGUUGACUCAAGGACAAGUGCCUCCUUACAUAUAUGUGUAACAAACUGACAAAACUCAUCAGACAUAGACAACAUUCAACAAACGUGCAAUCAAACAAAGGGCAACCUUUAGGCUUGCUAGAAAAGGACUCAACAUCAGCACCCAAUCCAAAACCAGAACUGCUACCAAAACCACCUCCACCACCUGAUGAUAUGCCCAGAUCACCGAGGCCAUUAUCAAUUUUUCCUGAUCCCAUAGACUGUAAAGACAUAAAGCCUCCUUU
rnacentral:lncRNA from 1 species